rnacentral:siRNA from 1 species
AAGGGUUUCUUGGGGUCAGAUUGC